rnacentral:misc_RNA from 1 species
GCCAGCCCCGAUUUCUUACGCAGCAUAUUCCUGCAAUAGUCAAUUGGUCUACGCUACAUUUUGCGAUGGUAACAUUGGAGUGUUCGAUGCCGAUACCCUGCGACUAAGAUGUCGUAUCGCCCCUUCUGUGUACCUCCCACCUGCAGUGUUGAAUUCAAGCCAAGCUGCAUACCCGCUUGUUGUUGCCACACAUCCGUUAGACCCGAACCAAUUAGCCAUCGGGUUGACCGAUGGAUCAGUUAAAGUGAUUGAGCCAACAGAAUCAGAGGGGAAAUGGGGAGUAAGUCCACCGAUGGACAAUGGAAUCCUGAACGGUAGAACGGCUUCAUCG